CAUGCCGUAGCUCAGCCUGGUAGAGCAACGAAUCGAUAAAUCGAUGGUCGCUGGUUCGAAUCCAGCCGGCAGAC
rnacentral:tRNA from 1 species